AAUAGAUACCCUGGUAGUCCACGCCGUAAACGAUGGGCGCUAGGUGUGGGAGGUGUCGACUCCUUCCGUGCCGCAGCUAACGCAUUAAGCGCCCCGCCUGGGGAGUACGGCCGCAAGGCUAAAACUCAAAGGAAUUGACGGGGGGCCCGCACAAGCAGCGGAGCACGUGGUUUAAUUGGAUGCAACGCCAAGAACCUUACCAAGGCAUGACAUGUUCGGGAAAGCCGGAGAAAUUCGGCCCUCCUUCGGGACCCGAUCACAGGUGGUGCAUGGCUGUCGUCAGCUCGCGUCGUGAGAUAUUGGGUUAAGUCCCGCAACGAGCGCAACCCCUGUCCCAUGUUGCCAGCGAGUAAAGUCGGGGACUCAUGGGAGACUGCCGGUGACAAAUCGGAGGAAGGUGGGGAUGAUGUCAAGUCAUCAUGCCCCUUAAGUCUUGGGCUACACACGUGCUACAUUGGCCGGUACAAAGGGCUGCAAUACCGCGAGGUUGAGCGAAUCCCAAAAAGCCGGUCCCGGUUCGGAUUGGAGGCUGCAACUCGCCUCC
rnacentral:rRNA from 1 species